GAUCAUUUCUGCAUGUUUACAGCAGCAAGAAGAGCCUGACAGCAAGAGAGAGGACAGAAAGUUAAUAAAUGACAGGAACAAGUAAAUCCUCAAAAAGAAGGAUCAUCUCAGGCCCCUUGGUGUAGGACCAGCAGCCUUAUAAGUGCUUCAGUGGAGACUGAGGACAGUGUUCUGGGGAAAUGUAGAGUAUUUAUGGAUGUUCACAUUGAGGACUAUGGCUUAUGAAAAAAGAAUAUAUAUUCAGAUUAGUCUGUUGAAAGAAGAAGGAAAUACAGGAAGGAAUGAUUUCUGACAAGAAUUUGUAUUUUUGGGUCUCAGUUAUCAAGAAAUUCCCUAUCAUCAAGACAUUCCACGU
rnacentral:lncRNA from 1 species